ACCAGAUAUAUAACUUUUGGUAUAAUAGUUCUCUAAGAAGAUAGCUAUCUCCUUUUGGUGUAAUGCCAUUGUGGUUGAAUUAGCUUGUCACUUUUUCUACUGGAGUCAGCCUCUUUUAACAAAUAUCAACACUGACAAACUUGUGAUGCAUUUCAGUGAAGUAAAUUUGUAUCAUAUGUUUAAAUUUGUGGUCCUUUGUUUUAGAAAGAAUCAGUACCAUAUAUUAAUUACUUACUCUUUGAUGAUGUUGCACUAUUGCAUCCAAAAGAUGGAUAUUCCCAGCAUGUUUAUUGCUGAAACAUAGUACUUUUCUACUAAGUAGUCAUAUUUUUGUUUGUUUCUCUUGUUUUCUCUUCUCUUCUACUAUUCUAUCUUAUGCAUUCAAAGUAAAAUCCUAUGAUUUCGUUAGUUAUUAUCGAAUUGCAUCGCAUGAUUUUGUCAUAGGAAGUUUUCUUGGACUUCUUAUCUAUUGUUUCUGGUACUUUUGUUAGUUAAAAUUUCUGCAAUGGCUUUUAAAUCCCCUGUUACAUGAGUUUCAAGUACAGAGUCUAAUGAUCUUUUCAGUGUUUUGGAUUAAAGUAGAUUUAGAUGAUUCUUUUCUGUUAGUUUGUUCAUUCAUUGGUAAUUUAUACACACUCAUUCCCUUCUUUACCAGAUUUUUCUUUCUUCACACUUGCAGUUCAUGAGUAUUAUUGCUUUUUUCCACUUUUCUCUUUUGAAAACAUUGCACUUCAUAGCUCUAGGUGUUAUGGUGAGUGGUGACUGAGAAAGGACACGUGGUGCUGAUGCGAGGUAGUUUCUAAAAGACACGUUGCAUAAAUAGUUACUAAUGCGUGGCAGUUUCUAAAGCCUUCUUUUGAUUUUUUUUCUCAAUGUAUAUGCCGCAUUUAUAUGCUUUUGAUGUCUAUCAUUUUGUAUAAAGUGGUCAAUGCCUUAACUGUCAUGGAAAAUCCAAAAAUUUAGUUUGCUCUACUACUUGUAUUAUCUGAAGUGUUUGCUAUUUUUUUUCAUGCUUUUACUAUGACUUGUUUCAAAUUACUGGUUAAAUUGUCUAUAUAUACAUUGAUGUGAACUGAGCAUGUUCGAUGCGCCUUUAGACAUCCUUUUCAAAAUUCGAGUCUGCUCUAUGAUAAUGGCUUCCGGCAUUCCUGCUUUAAGUUCACUGAUACAGGUGGAUAGUAGGGUGUUAUGAUGUGUUUUUGCAAGGAUAGUGGUAGAAGCUUGUUAGGACAUUCAACAUAGCUAUCUAAGCUAUUUGUUCUUGUAGAUGGUGAACUGCUUGUGGAUAGAAAUUUAGCAAGAUUUAUAAAUUAGUGUUCCAUGCAUUUUCACCAAUCUUUUUGCCUUGCAUUUAAAUAAUUUUGAGUGAUGAUUGCUAUUUGUACUUGAAAUAUUUAUCUUUAGAUUUCACUUCCUUUUUUAAUCCGCAAUUUCCUAUGGAAGUUAAUCAAAAUGAAACUUCAGACUUCCACGAUAUGCACGGGCCAUUGCUAUCUAGUAUAUAUAUUAUUAUUAUUAUAUAUAAUAAAAGGCUUGGUUUCGACCGGGGGCAAAGAUGUAAUUUCGCCCUCCUUCCAUGGCAGUAAAAAUCAAGGCCGCAUAAUCACUUUCUGGGAUCUUCUACAACUUUUCUUUUUUGUUCCUCUUUUCUGUGCUCUGGGUUUUACUGUAUUUUCUCCAUCAAAGGCUCAUUCCAGGUUCGAGCUUUAUUUCUUGACUUAAAAAUUUGCUCUCUUCUCGGCACUCCCGGUGUAGGUUACAAUCACUUUUUGUCGUGCUAUUGUUUUCCCUCUCCGAUCUCAUUCUUCCCCCUUUUUGCAGCAAUUUAGCACGGAUUUGAGGAUCAAAAAUUAAGAUCACCCCCAAAUAAGGACAAUCCUGCAAAUUACCCAUUUAAGAGUUGGGAACAUAUUAAUGGGGCUGUGAUGAUGAUUUGCUUGCUGCUUUCUGAGAAGAUCCGACCCGUAUCUUGGCGGGGCGACCCGAUACAAGGUAGAAAUGAGACACAACAAGGUAGCUGCUUUUUUAAGAGUUCUGAACCUAAAUGAGCUGAUUUAUUGGAAGAAAUUGCACGUUAAGCUAUGCAAUUUAGAAAAGCAGAGCAUUCAAUGCACGUGGAGCUAGCAUUACUCAAAGAAGAAGCGAAGCCUUUCUAGCCAUGAAAAGGAGCGUGAAAAACUCCGAACCACAAUCGAGGAUAUGGAGAAGGCAAACUUGGAAGAGAAGACCUGGACUAUGCAAGGAGAAGUAAGAUAUUUCUUUCAUACUUCCCUUAUUUGUUUUAAAUAUUUUCUUCGAAGAAACACCCAUUCAUGAAUACACAAGCCCAGACUCAAGAUGAAAACUGAAACUCGGUUAUCCUAUAUUCUCGUGCUAAUUUCACAAUAUUGUUUUCUCUCAUUGUUGAUGCUACAUUACGAUCUUCAUAAGGCUUUUCCUUUCUAAUUGUUCUCUCUCUUCCUUUAUAAUUCCCUAUGACUCUUUCAUCAACCUGUACUGGCUAUAUGUACCACAUAUGCCGUCUUCUGUCUGUAUGUUUGAACAAUCUCUAUUGGCUGGUAACUGGUGCAAGAAGGCCAAAAAUAGUGCACUAGAAGUUGAUCUGGAUUUCGAGCACAAUGUGAGAGCUGCCUCUGUAAUCACUGAAGAGGUUACUGCAACACUUGAAGAUCUAAUUCAGAAACGUAUCAUUGAGGAAGAGUUUGUGCACAUACAAUGUCGAACACUUGUUUCUCUAGACGAGGUUCGAAAUACAGGGUAGUCACAAGCUGCGAUGGGAUAAUUUCUCGGGAAAAAGUGAGUUAUCGGCUUAUGGCUUAUCCCACCAUUGCUUAGGCAAGUCAUAUUAUCAGUGAUAUAGCUGUUUAAAAGCUUUCUUGGUAUAUUAUCGUGUCAUUAUAGAUAUGCCUGCAGGUAUAUCUAUCUUGGAGUGUUUGCAGUGAGAUAGAAGCUGCAAG